rnacentral:rRNA from 1 species
UACGGAGGGAGCUAGCGUUGUUCGGAAUUACUGGGCGUAAAGCGCACGUAGGCGGCUUUGUAAGUUAGAGGUGAAAGCCCGGGGCUCAACCCCGGAAUUGCCUUUAAGACUGCAUCGCUUGAAUCCGGGAGAGGUGAGUGGAAUUCCGAGUGUAGAGGUGAAAUCGUAGAUAUUCGGAAGAACACAGUGGCGAAAGGCGGCUCACUGGACCGGCAUUGACGCUGAGGUGCGAAAGCGUGGGGAGCAAACAGG